rnacentral:rRNA from 1 species
UGGGGAAUAUUGCACAAUGGGCGAAAGCCUGAUGCAGCAACGCCGCGUGAGCGAUGAAGGCCUUCGGGUCGUAAAGCUCUGUCCUCAAGGAAGAUAAUGACGGUACUUGAGGAGGAAGCCCCGGCUAACUACGUGCCAGCAGCCGCGGUAAUACGUAGGGGGCUAGCGUUAUCCGGAAUUACUGGGCGUAAAGGGUGCGUAGGUGGUUUCUUAAGUCAGAGGUGAAAGGCUAUGGCUCAACCGUAGUAAGCCUUUGAAACUGGGAAACUUGAGUGCAGGAGAGGAGAGUGGAAUUCCUAGUGUAGCGGUGAAAUGCGUAGAUAUUAGGAGGAACACCAGUUGCGAAGGCGGCUCACUUGUCUGUAACUGACACUGAGGCACGAUAGCGUGGGGAGCUAACA